rnacentral:rRNA from 1 species
UACGAAGGGGGGCAAGCGUUGUUCGGAAUUACUGGGCGUAAAGGGCGCGCAGGCGGCCAAUCAAGUCAGAUGUGAAAGCCCCGGGCUCAACCUGGGAACUGCAUUUGUGACUGCAUAGCUAGAGUACGGUAGAGGGGGAUGGAAUUCCGCGUGUAGCAGUGAAAUGCGUAGAUAUGCGGAGGAACACCGAUGGCGAAGGCAAUCCCCUGGACCUGUACUGACGCUCAUGCACGAAAGCGUGGGGAGCAAACAGG